ACUAGGAUCUGCUAAACACAAGCAAUUGGGCCCAUGCCCCAAAAUUGAUAGUAUUAUCUCCCAGUA
rnacentral:tRNA from 1 species